UGAGGAAUAUUGGUCAAUGGGGGCAACCCUGAACCAGCCAAGUCGCGUGAAGGAUGAAGGUCUUAUGGAUUGUAACUUCUUUUACACGGGAAUAAAGUGGGGGACGUGUCCCCCUUUGCAUGUACCGUGUGAAUAAGGAUCGGCUAACUCCGUG
rnacentral:rRNA from 1 species